rnacentral:tRNA from 1 species
GGAGGGUAUAGCUCAGUGGUAGAGUGUGUGCUUAGCAUGCACGAGGUCCUGGGUUCAAUCCUCAGUACCUCCA